GCUUCAUUACAUGUAGUAUAAUGAACACAAGUAGCUUCUAAGGUGUGGUCCUAUAGGACAUACUCUCUAUCUUACCGGACAAUACAGACUCUCUAGUUCCUUGCCAGCUCACCUAACUGUCCCUUUUGCAGUUCUACAUGGUGAUGUGUGUCAUCUAUGUGUUGCUGGGCCUGCGCUGUGGCCUUGGCUGUCAGUCUGCUACUGGAGAGAGCUGCUCGGGAUCCAGACCUAGAUCGGCGGGGUCAUCUUCCUGGGCAUGCUGGAGAAGGCCGUGUACUAUGCCGAGUUCCAGAGCAUCCGCUAUGACGGCCUCUCCGCUCAGGAGGGGGAGAGACAAGAACCUUACAGAAAAGCCACUUGAUUUCACUUAUGAAAUUUCACCUGAAAUUCACGUGAUCACUUGAGAAACACGUUUUUGUCUGUAAUUGGUCUUUUAAGGAAAUCAACAUGGGGUUUAAGUGGUCAUAUUUGGUGGACACCCCUAAACACACAUUUUCAGCCAAUUUUGUUUUUCUACCUAAAUCUUCCUGGUGGGCAAGGUUGGAAUUGGGUAAAAGAUAGUUGCUCCUAGUGUGGUGCUAAAUGUGCAGUUGUACUCCAUUUUAAUCAUCUUUAUAUGUGUGCUGUGUCCUCCAACAGUCCAGGGGGCAGUAGUGUUUGUGGAGAUCCUUUCAGCAGUGCGGACCCUGGCCCGUGUGCUCGUCAUCAUCGCUAGUCUUGGUUAUGGAAUUGUCAAGGGAGUCAGUCCCUUCAUAAGAGGUCACAUUGUUAAGACAGUGGAGAGUUUUAAACUCUAUUUCCAAUUCUGUCCCUCUCUGUCUCUGUCUCUCUGACUCUGUCUGUCUGUCGCUCUCUCUCUCUCUGCCUGCCUGUCUCUCUCUCUCUCUCUGCCUGCCUGUCUCUCUCUCUCCGUAGGCCAAGGCUCAGUGCAUUGAUAUACAGGGUGGUUGGGGUGGGACUGCUCAUUUUAGUUUUAUUUUUACCUUUAUUUUGACCUUAUAUUCUCCGUUGUCGAGGGAAUCCUGAGGGUCAAUUCGGGUAAGUCUGGUCUCUGUCCUCUCCUUUCUGAUCAAUAUACUACCUCGAUAUUCCUCCAAAAUAUAUUGUCCACCUAACAAGACUAUUAAAACAUUUUGAUACGUUUUUGAUACGGAACUAAACUAAACAAUGCCAUGAUGCUCUUUGUAGAAUAUCUUCAUCUUUGGCCAAAGGAUGCCAGGAAUCUUGUGUGUGUGUAGUAGUACCGUCAUUCCACUGUCAGUGUUUGCCUGUCUUUCUCACAGGGUCAGGGGGCAGUAGCAGACUACUGUGUGACAUUAUUCUGGCGUUCACUGACUCGUGCGUUGUGUGGUGGAUAUCCUUUUGGAGUGGUCAGACAUUAGAGGCCAUCAGUCUGCCUGUCUGUCAGUCAGCGUGUUAAUCUAGUUGUCACUGUAUGCAGUUAGUCUGUCAGUAUUAAGAACUAUUUUAUUUUUCUCCCUCCUGGGCAUGUUUGUCUUGAGCUGAUCUCCUCAUCCCUUUUACCAGUGUCUCUCAUAACUUCUCCAACAAGUUUGAUUCCAACCCUCUUUGAGUGGCAGUUUGGUUCUAACCCUCUUUGAGUGGCAGUUUGGUUAUACACGGGUCCUCUUGGUGUGUAUCUGUCUAUCAACAUGGCUGCCUGAAGAGUAUGUGAUAAUUUCCCCUCACUCCCUCUGUCACUCCCUCUGUCACUCCCUCCCUUUCUCCUUGCCCCUCUGUGCUUGUAUCCGUUCCCCUUCCUCUCUGUCCCUUUCAGGCUGAAGCUGAUCUGGUGCCGCUUGCUGCCAUUCCGUUGGCUGUGCUCGACUCUACCCUCUGCUGGUGGAUAUCCUGACUGGAGGGAGCUGUGGAUAGACUGCUUCCUGGCGGUUCCUCUUCCCCACCAUCCUUCAGGUCAUCAUGUUUCUGUGGAGGCCGUCUGCCAACAACCAGAGAUACACCUUCAGCCCCCUAGUGGACGAGGAGCGUGACGACGAGGCAAAGGAACAGCUGAUGAAUGAUACAUUUGUGUACUUCCAGAGGGCGUGAAGACGAGGGGUCUGAAGUCCAAGACAUGUGGAACAGCCAAGCCGAACAAAGUGGAUGAGGAUCUGAAAUGGGUGGAAGAGAAUAUCCCAACUUCAAUGGCAGAUGUGGGACCAUGACUAGCAAUUUUGAGAUGUCUAAAAUGGAAUAGACAGAGGGAGACGAUGUGCACUGCAGACAGAGACCGUGCGUUGGACAACCCUAUGUCUGUAUAUGAAGGAUAUUAUCCCGUAUGAGCUUUGUAAGCAGCGGUUGUAAAUACGAUGGGAUAAACUAUGACGUAAUGAGCUCACUAUUUUAAUUUUAUUUUUGAAUGCCUGCUUAUUUAUAUUUUUGUGGGUAUCUGGUUUCUUUUUUUUUAGAUUCUUUACUACAAAUUGUAUCUUGCCUUUCACUGUUUACAUAGGUAAUGUGCGGGAAUGUGAUUAAAUGUGUUUUUCUUGUCCAGUA